CGGCAAGUGGCGGGCGUGCUAUACAUGCAGUCGAGCGGACAGAUGGGAGCUUGCUCCCUGAUGUUAGCGGCGGACGGGUGAGUAACACGUGGGUAACCUGCCUGUAAGACUGGGAUAACUCCGGGAAACCGGGGCUAAUACCGGAUGGUUGUUUGAACCGCAUGGUUCAAACAUAAAAGGUGGCUUCGGCUACCACUUACAGAUGGACCCGCGGCGCAUUAGCUAGUUGGUGAGGUAACGGCUCACCAAGGCAACGAUGCGUAGCCGACCUGAGAGGGUGAUCGGCCACACUGGGACUGAGACACGGCCCAGACUCCUACGGGAGGCAGCAGUAGGGAAUCUUCCGCAAUGGACGAAAGUCUGACGGAGCAACGCCGCGUGAGUGAUGAAGGUUUUCGGAUCGUAAAGCUCUGUUGUUAGGGAAGAACAAGUACCGUUCGAAUAGGGCGGUACCUUGACGGUACCUAACCAGAAAGCCACGGCUAACUACGUGCCAGCAGCCGCGGUAAUACGUAGGUGGCAAGCGUUGUCCGGAAUUAUUGGGCGUAAAGGGCUCGCAGGCGGUUUCUUAAGUCUGAUGUGAAAGCCCCCGGCUCAACCGGGGAGGGUCAUUGGAAACUGGGGAACUUGAGUGCAGAAGAGGAGAGUGGAAUUCCACGUGUAGCGGUGAAAUGCGUAGAGAUGUGGAGGAACACCAGUGGCGAAGGCGACUCUCUGGUCUGUAACUGACGCUGAGGAGCGAAAGCGUGGGGAGCGAACAGGAUUAGAUACCCUGGUAGUCCACGCCGUAAACGAUGAGUGCUAAGUGUUAGGGGGUUUCCGCCCCUUAGUGCUGCAGCUAACGCAUUAAGCACUCCGCCUGGGGAGUACGGUCGCAAGACUGAAACUCAAAGGAAUUGACGGGGGCCCGCACAAGCGGUGGAGCAUGUGGUUUAAUUCGAAGCAACGCGAAGAACCUUACCAGGUCUUGACAUCCUCUGACAAUCCUAGAGAUAGGACGUCCCCUUUCGGGGGCAGAGUGACAGGUGGUGCAUGGGUGUCGUCAGCUCGUGUCGUGAGAUGUUGGGGUUAAGUCCCGCAACGAGCGCAACCCUUGAAUCUUAGUGCAGCAUCAGUUGGCCACUUCUAAGUGACUGCGGGUGACAAACCGAGAAGGUGGGAUGACGUCCAAAUCAUCAGUGCCCGUAUGGACUGGCUACACACGUGCUACAUGACAGACUAGGGUCAUGGCCGUAAAUG
rnacentral:rRNA from 1 species